UACGUAGGGGGCUAGCGUUGUCCGGAAUCAUUGGGCGUAAAGAGCGCGUAGGCGGCCAGAUAAGUCCGGUGUGAAAGUCAAAGGCUCAACCUUUGAAUGCCGCUGGAAACUGUCUGGCUAGAGUCCGGGAGGGGCGAGUGGAAUUCCUGGUGUAGCGGUGAAAUGCGCAGAUAUCAGGAGGAACACCGGUGGCGAAGGCGGGUCUCUGGGCCGAAACUGACGCUGAGGAGCGAAAGCGUGGGGAGCAAACAGG
rnacentral:rRNA from 1 species